rnacentral:rRNA from 1 species
AAGACGGCCCUACGGGUUGUAAACUGCUUUUAUACCGGAAUAAACCCCAGGACGUGUCCUGGGCUGAAUGUACGGUAAGAAUAAGGAUCGGCUAACUCCGUGC